rnacentral:rRNA from 1 species
UAGGGAAUCUUCCGCAAUGGACGCAAGUCUGACGGAGCAACGCCGCGUGAGUGAAGAAGGAUUUCGGUUCGUAAAACUCUGUUGUUAGAGAAGAACAGCGCAUAGAGUAACUGUUAUGCGUGUGACGGUAUCUAACCAGAAAGCCACGGCUAACUACGUGCCAGCAGCCGCGGUAAUACGUAGGUGGCAAGCGUUGUCCGGAUUUAUUGGGCGUAAAGCGAGCGCAGGCGGUCAAUUAAGUCUGAUGUGAAAGCCCCCGGCUCAACCGGGGAGGGUCAUUGGAAACUGGUUGACUUGAGUGCAGAAGAGGAGAGUGGAAUUUCAUGUGUAGCGGUGAAAUGCGUAGAUAUAUGGAGGAACACCAGUGGCGAAGGCGACUCUCUGGUCUGUAACUGACGCUGAGGUUCGAAAGCGUGGGUAGCAAACAGG